rnacentral:rRNA from 1 species
UACAGAGGUCUCAAGCGUUGUUCGGAUUCAUUGGGCGUAAAGGGUGCGUAGGUGGCGGGGUAAGUCAGGUGUGAAAUCUCGGAGCUCAACUCCGAAACUGCACUGGAUACUGCCUUGCUCGAGUACUGGAGAGGAGAUUGGAAUUUACGGUGCAGCAGUGAAAUGCGUAGAUAUCGUAAGGAAGACCAGUGGCGAAGGCGAAUCUCUGGACAGUUACUGACACUGAGGCACGAAGGCCAGGGGAGCAAACAGG